AGCAGCCGCGGUAAUUCCAGCUCCAAUAGCGUAUAUUAAAGUUGUUGCAGUUAAAAAGCUCGUAGUUGAAUUUCGAGAUCGGCUUACUGGUCGUGCUUUUGUACGUACUGGUAAAUCGGUUUCUCCUUUCUGACGAACUUUAAUGCCAUUAAUUUGGUGUUUUAGGGAAUCAGGACUGUUACUUUGAAAAAAUUUAGAGUGUUUAAAGCAGGCUCACGCUUGAAUACAUUAGCAUGGAAUAACGGAAUAGGACGUUUGAUUCUAUUUUGUUGGUUUCUAGGAUCGGCGUAAUGAUUAAUAGGGAUAGUUGGGGGCAUUAGUAUUCAAUUGUCAGAGGUGAAAUUCUUGGAUUUAUUGAAGACUAACUACUGCGAAAGCAUUUGCCAAGGAUGUUUUCAUUAAUCAAGAACGAAAGUUAGGGGAUCGAAGACGAUCAGAUACCGUCGUAGUCUUAACCAUAAACUAUGCCGACUAGGGAUCGGAUGAUGUUAAUUUUUUCAAUGACUCAUUCGGCGCCUUA
rnacentral:rRNA from 1 species